rnacentral:rRNA from 1 species
UACAGAGGUCUCGAGCGUUUGUUCGGAUUCAUUGGGCGUAAAGGGUGCGUAGGUGGCUAGGUAAGUCGGAUGUGAAAUCCCGGGGCUCAACCCCGGAACUGCAUUCGAUACUGCCUGGCUAGAGUACUGGAGAGGAGAUUGGAAUUUACGGUGUAGCAGUGAAAUGCGUAGAUAUCGUAAGGAAGACCAGUGGCGAAGGCGGAUCUCUGGACAGUUACUGACACUGAGGCACGAAGGCCAGGGGAGCAAACGGG